AUUGAACGCUGGCGGUAGGCCUAACACAUGCAAGUCGAGCGGUAGGUACUUUCGGGUAUUGAGAGCGGCGGACGGGUGAGUAACGCGUGGGAAUCUGGCUCUUAGAGGGGGACAACUUGUGGAAACGCAAGCUAAUACCGCAUACGCCCUAAGGGGGAAAGCAGGGGAUCUUCGGACCUUGCGCUAAGAGAUGAGCCCGCGUCGGAUUAGCUAGUUGGUAGGGUAAAGGCCUACCAAGGCGACGAUCCGUAACUGGUCUGAGAGGAUGAUCAGUCACACUGGAACUGAGACACGAUCCAGACUCCUACGGGAGGCAGCAGUGGGGAAUAUUGGACAAUGGGGGCAACCCUGAUCCAGCCAUGCCGCGUGUGUGAAGAAGGCCUUCGGGUUGUAAAGCACUUUAAGUUGGGAGGAAAGGGUUAUGGCUGAUAUCCAUGAUCUAUGACGUUACCAACAGAAUAAGCACCGGCUAACUCCGUGCCAGCCGCCGCGGUAA
rnacentral:rRNA from 1 species